AUGAGGUUUUUUCAGCACUUCAUAGUUUUUUGACAUCGAAAUAAUUUCUUCUAUGCCAUUGUCAGUGUAUCACCUCCACACUUCCCAGAGCUACAAAUCUAAACUCAUGCUCUAUCUUGGCCCUGGUAUUUUGAUUCCAUUCUGACCACCAGGGAUCUGAAUGCUGCUCAGCUCCAUGCAAGAUAACAUAUUUAUCAGCAUAUGACACGCACAUUUAACUCCUGAAAAGCUUUCUGUUAAAGACGGAAGAAAGAGUGAAGAUAAUGUUGAAGAUAAAGUUCUUAAAGGGUCCCAGUAGGUUGCAGUUUGCGCAGUCCUCCUUGAUAUAUCAAUCCCCCUUCAAAUCACAGUGUCCCUUUCACAGUCACGUUCUAAAGAUCAUGCACUUACCCUGAGGAGGAGCAAUGGUCCUGCCAGAAGCCGAUGCUGGAGGGUCUUGAAUGCAGCUUUCUGUUAAAGACGGAAGAAAGAGUGAAGAGUCAAGCUCUAUGAUUUUGACCCCUGCUGCUGAAUCCAGGGACAUCCUCUGCCAGAAGGACAUCUCUUAGCUCCGCCUCCCACUCUCGCAACUUGAUAGGCUUUCCUCGGUUUUGUCCUAGUCGAAGCCUCUGCAUCUUCUUUGUAACCGUUGCCCGACAAUCAUAGAACCUGCAAAUGUACAUAAACAUUACAAUUACAUUAAUAAAAAAACAAAUACUUAGAUUAAUGUUUUUUGAAAACCACAUUUCUUUUCACAUUGUGAUGGUUAUAUGUAUACUGUUCAGCAUGUGGCUGUGACAAAUAAAUUUUUUGGUUACGUUGAACUGUUA